CAAGGCUUGACAUACACGAGAACGGGCCAGAAAUGGUCAACUCUUUGGACACUCGGGAACAGGUGGUGCAUGGUUGUCGUCAGCUCGUGUCGUGAGAUGUUGGGUUAAGUCCCGCAACGAGCGCAACCCUCGUCGCAUGUUGCCAGCACGUUAUGGUGGGGACUCAUGUGAGACUGCCGGGGUCAACUCGGAGGAAGGUGGGGAUGACGUCAAAUCAUCAUGCCCCUUAUGUCUUGGGCUUCACGCAUGCUACAAUGGCCGGUACAAAGGGCUGCGAUGUCGUAAGGCGGAGCGAAUCCCAAAAAGCCGGUCUCAGUUCGGAUUGAGGUCUGCAACCCGACCUCAUGAAGUCGGAGUCGCUAGUAAUCGCAGAUCAGCAACGCUGCGGUGAAUACGUUCCC
rnacentral:rRNA from 1 species